rnacentral:rRNA from 1 species
UACGUAGGCAGCAAGCGUUGUUCGGAGUUACUGGGCGUAAAGGGUGCGUAGGCGGGUUGCUUAAGUUUGGUGUGAAAUCUCCCGGCUCAACUGGGAGGGUGCGCCGAAUACUGAGUGACUAGAGUGCGGGAGAGGAAAGCGGAAUUCCUGGUGUAGCGGUGAAAUGCGUAGAUAUCAGGAGGAACACCGGUGGUGUAGACGGCUUUCUGGACCGUAACUGACGCUGAGACACGAAAGCGUGGGUAGCAAACAGG